AUGGAGUCGAGAUCGAGGUUCCAUACAGAUGCAGAUCGGAGAAAGUGAACAAGAUGAACAACUGAACCGAUCGGAGCAAUAGAGAACUGACAGAACCUCCUGUCCUGCCCUUCCCUGAGGGACGGGGCGAGUCUGCAGAGCUUGUCUUUUUUUUAUACAGUUACUCCUGAUCAAGGUCUGAGCUAGGUGUUUCCACGUUUCUUCACCUCUUCUCCGAUGAAUUGAAACUCCUGGGAUUCAAGGUCCUCUUCUGGCAUUUGCAAAGACUGAGUGCAUUGAAUGUGAUAUCUAGGCUUCUGCACCCACCCAGACACAGAACCCACUUCUUCAGAAUUUCUAACAAAGACUGAAGACCGGCAGCUCUCUGGGACUUCCCUGGGACUCCAGAUUGAAACUGCUGAGACAUCCAGCCUUGUGGAUUGGACAACUAAUCACCAGAUCCUUGGCCUUUCCAUCAGGAAGCAGCCAUUGCUGGCCAGACCACAGCCUGAGAAAGCAAAAUCCAACUUGGCCUGCUCCUAUGUAGAGACGGCUAAGGUUAGAGACCAAGACUGUGGCAUUAUAGCUGCCACUCAAAACCUGUCCUUUGGAAAUGACAAAACCAUGCAGGAUGACAUGAGAUGCUUAUCAUGCAAAUGUGGUGGCGAUCAUGCCCAGCUUUGGAAGAACAGAAACAAGAAUGGAGCAGUGGCACAGACUAACAUACAGAUCUCUACAGGACUUGUCAAAUGGCUCUGUGACUCAGGCAGGACUCAGGACCAUGUUGCUGUCACACUCAGAGGAGACACACCAACUUUCAGAAAGUAUCUACAGACAAUGAGUCAGUGCAACUGCAGCCUCUGCAACAUCAUCACCAUGUGGAAUAGUAUUAGAAAGCCCCGGUAGGUGUGACUCCCACUGCCAGAGGCCUUUUUAAUGACUUUGGUAAACAUGGGGGAUCGGGCUGUCGAUUGUUAGGGCUUCUUGGAAUUAGGAGGUGUCCUCUUCUAGAUGACCAGAGUCCAGAACCAGCUGGAUGAGAUGCUGGCGUCCUUUCUCAAAAAGCUGCUUGUGCAUCUAGAGCAGAAGGCAAAGCUGCACACUGGUACCUGAGUGCAGCAUCCGAGAAGUACCAGACAGAGCAGAGGAGCAAAGGAAACGCCCUGGACAAGAGGUGGGAGCAGCUGAAGAAGCUCCCCAAGAAGAGCCAAAUAUAUCAACAAUGCUCUGUGUUCUUCAGUAUCAAAUAUUUGACUUAGAUUUAAUUCCUUAUGUAAAAAUAAAUACACACAUGCAUCUCA